UUUGUUUUUUGCUGCAUGGCUACUCCCUCAUUUAGACAUCACUCAUCGCUCACACGCAUUCCCUGCUCAUGUUUGUAAAUUGCGUGUCAAAAUUCCAUUAGGUUUUCAAAAACACCGUUUAAAGAGUGAUCAUCCCAUCCGGAAAUUCCUAAAAGGAUCUUAACGGAGAACUAUUUGAAUUUUUGCUUCACUUCCUCUAUGGUUGCUUUAUAAUGGAGUCAGCUCUGAACCACUGACAUUUGCUGUUAAUCUGUGGCUCAAACAAACAGAUGAAAAAGCAGAGACGUCUUCUAACAAUGCAGCUCCGUGGAUGUAAAACAUCAACUUCUAAUCCACUUGUACAGUAGAAAUGUGGGACAGAAGAGUUGGUUUUUUUCUUCAUUUAUUUAAAUAUAAUCUGUCUAAAAGGAACAGGCUGUGACUAAAUAGCUGAGUUGAUUGUGAAGGGCUAAGCACAAAGACGACAGCUGCCGUGACAGAAAAAAAAUACAAAAAACUUCAGGAGAUGCCAACGUGACACAAAUAGCUGCUUCCUAUUCCAAAAACUUUUAUUUGAACAGAGUUUUAUGCAUGUUUAAUUUAGUUGUUUUUCUGCCUCCAUCUCUGUCAGGCAGCCAGAGGACAGCUACAUUCAAGGACAUUUGUGUAAAAGUUCCAGGAAAGUGGAGUGAAGGCCACGCAAACAAGCAGGAAAUCAGUAAUACUAGGUGGAGGCCCACAAACGACACAUGACACUUCAGGUUUGGCCCAUUUCUGCUUCCCUGUGCUUUUCUCUCAACAUUCCUGACAUGCUCCUCGUCUGACUCCUCUUUCAUCUCCAGAUUACAGACUACGUCAAAGUCCUUGGCUCCUGUCAGCCAGGAGUUGGAUCCUUUGAUCUGGAUUGAGAUGACAAGGUUGUGUGAAAACGGAGGAGCAGACCUUCUCUGUCACUACCAGGGAAAAACAGUCAACGGCAGUCCUUCAGUUCACCUGUACAGCUGCACAAGAACCCGAGGCGUCCGGUUCUUGUGUUCUGACCUUGAUUUCCACUUGUACUUCCAGUGGGCUGCGCCGUUGUCAUGCCCACUGAGUUUGUUUUCUGUGGAGAGCCAGCUGAAAUGAGGUAAAGCUGGUCUGUGGGCAAGAAGUCAAGCCCCCGAGGAAGAGACAAGACAAACAUGAUAAGAGGCUGUUGGUGAAAUUACAGACUGCAGGCAGCCCUUAAUGGAGUUCAACGCAGGGUUGAGGGAAGUGAGGUCAGUCAGUCGUCGAAGACUUCUUCUACUGACACCGAUGCUUCCUACAUUCCUGAACACCGAUGUCGACGGCCAAUGAUUUUACAACCUCUGCACGGCGGACAGAUUCAACUUCAUUGUGCUCCGUCCACAGAUCAUUCAUUUUAAUGAUGAUGUACUGAUGACGAUAACAAAGCACAAUGAAAUCAGUCCGCGCCAAUACAAACACAGAGUCAAAGACUGUGAACCCUGCGUACUGGGCUAACCGCGCUCAUUAGCAUUAAAUAAACACAACUCUGUGCUGGAAACCUGUUUAGUGUAUGCAUAUUUCACAGGGGCCGAGACACUUCAUCGGACAUUCAACCCGCAUACGGUAACGAUAAGAUCAAGGCAGAGCAAAACCAAACCACACGAACCUCUUAUAUAUUACAUCGUGUCCUAAAAGCCGGAAGACUCGGGGCUUUAAACCUUUCUCAGGUUUGAUUUAUGGAUCAUUCAGACCUCACUUUGGUUCAAAUCUGCAGAAGUUUCAGGAUAAAACAGAUUCAACGUACAUCUCUCUAAUUCUAACCAACUGUAACGUCGUAGUGUUUAUGCGUCUAAUGCACCUUUUUUUCUAUAUGCAAUCAACUGUAAGUUCCCACUUAUAAAUCUUUCCAUUCCCGGUGGCCGCCGGCCCACAGGGGCGUCGGCUUGUCCGUCAGGUUCCUCACCUCACGUCAUAAAUUGUGUGCCAUCUGAGCUCAAUCCGUCCUCCGUGUCCAUGAAGCGCCAAGGCUAGCUCAAGGCCUCGGUAGCCACAAGUGGUCUGGUAUAAAAAUGCAGUGUGGAUGUGCUGUUUGUGCAUGUGUGAAUGUUCAGCAGCAAAUUUUAAUUUUCACAUUUCUGCACAGCAGAUGUUUCAGCAUCACCUGACACGAACACACCUGAUGUAGUGAUAAAAAAGAAAAACAGUGACGAGAACAGGAACAGGGUUUCGGUUCUUCUUGUUAAAUUGUCCUAGUGGUGUUAUACUACACAGUAUUUGUCAGUGGCAAACUGACGGCCUGACCUUUGUCACUAGAUGAUUAACCUCAAUCAAUCAUGAUUAAUCACGGUAAAUUAGAAUUGUAAUUAAUGAAGCUCCCCUGUUACUAAUCUGAUUUUUUUUAAAUAUUUUUUAUUAUAGCCAUAAGUUGGUUUCAUAGUUUUUACUAUUAUAAUAUUUAUAAGAUGAUAAUUUAGGUUUUAUUUUAGUUUUUUUUUUUUUUUUUUAGUUUUUUUAAUGUGUUUAAACCAACCGUCGUUGCAACUCUCAGAUCUUUCUUCAAACAUUUACCCUGAAUGAUAUUAUCCUGCAUGUGUAUACAUGCACUGUCUUUGAGUACACGUACACACCACAGUGGCAGUUCACCACUCCACAAUAAACACCUAUGAAUUGGUCUUUUUUUUAAAAACAGUAGCGGAGGCUGAAUGCCAAGAAUCUGGUAUCAUCUUAAGGCCGACUGCGUCAUUAACUCUGCCUCAGGUUAAAACCUGUCACCUCUGUGAAGCGCUUCAUCUUUAUUGGCUAAACAGUGAAAUAAAAACACAGUAAUGUUGGUGAAGUGCACAUGGAACUGACACUCAGGACAUGAGCUGUACAUAAUGAAGAGUUUGUCGAUGAUGGAUGCUACAGUCAUAGCACUGACAUCACAUCCAUCUGGCAGUCUUAAUGCAGUGAUGUGGGGAAAAAUGCACUAUAGCAAAUUCUCAUAUGAAAUUGCUGAUAAGAAUUGUCUUAGGAAGAAAACCUGAAAAGAAAUAAACAAUAAUAAUUGUAUCGUUUUACUGCCAGAACUUGUUUAAAUGAAGUCAAAUCAAAACCAAAAGAAAAAAAUAUAUAAAGCAGAAAUACAAAAAAUCUGAUUUAGUUGUAAUAGAAAAAUAAUUGAGA